UUUGACUGUAGAAAUAUUGAUUUAAAACAUUUCCAGAUUUUCUUUUUCUGCCUAACUUUUUCUAUCGCACUAUCUUUCAAUCUGGAGUAUGGAUUAUCCAUAUCUUACUUACUCGUCUUCGCUUGUAAAUUCUUAUUGCUUGAAAUUGCAUCUACCGGUCAAAACUUUUAGUUGCCUUUAUUCCUUCACAUGUAUAACCUUGCGUGCUGGUGAGAAACCAGCUAAGACCUUCCAAAAUUCAAAACCAUAGAGCACCUAAGAAACCAAUAUAUCACUUGCAAUUGAAAGUUAGGUUGGAUUAGUAGGUCGGGAGAUUGGUUAUGGAAGUGGCUUUUCAUGUAUUAAAUAUUUGUGUCCCCUAUUAUUUUGUUAUUUCAUCUGAUCAUCUCAAACUUGGACUUGAGACAAAGCUAACUAGCAUAUUCAACCAAAAAGUUUUAUGAAUAUGAAUCAAAUGAAGGUGGAAACGGACAGUGUCAUUGGUAAGUCUAAACAGGCAACCUCCCCACCUCCACCUCCUCCGCCACCAGUUCCAAGAAUCUGGGCAAGGAGGACUACUGCAGUGAGUGUAACAAACCGAGAGAUUGCCAAGUUCUGGAGGCAGAAGCGCAUUGAGGAAGAGGAUCACCUCCUGGCUGCCAUCAAGGCUGCAGCACGCAUCAGGGCCCGCAAUCUGUCGGAGGAAGAUUACAAGUGUUUUGAAGAGUCACUGAGCGAUGAACGUAAUAAUGCUAAGGAGAAGAUUACGGCCCCAACCAAUACUAGCAAAGGCGAUGAAAAGAACAAAGAAAUUCGUGUGGGAAUAAAGGACUGGUGGACAAAGAGCAAAUAUGCAUACUUAAACCAACCAGCUUUCGAGUCCAUGGAUAAUCCAAAGCGACGAGCAUCCACUUAUACUCCAAAAUUUUUCAAUUAUAAACCUACUCCUUUAUAUCCUACAUCACUUGGUGUCUUUUAGGCCAUUGGGAUUGGGAAGUUUUUUCAACUUUCGAUUGAUUGAAUUACCUGAUAUCAGGACAGAUAAUUGCUAUGCAGUGAUUUAUCUGUGUCAUUGGAAGCUCUGUUCAUUUAUUUAAGUGUGCCUGCAAAUUAGUAUGAUUGGUAUUUCUUCAUUCUGUUCUGAGAAGACCCCCUUGUAAAAGCAAGCACUGUCGCAGGAUUAUAAAAGCAAAACGUGAAGGUGAAUUUUGUUAAAGCACGAAAGACCUGCAUCAAAUUACUGAAAUAUUUGGUAGGGUGUGAAGGAAAAUAACAUCAUUAAGUGGAUGUCCUUUCCACUUAAGCCUUCCAAAGAAGGCUUUAUUCUUUUUUCUCCAACUUUUCAACUUUUCCAGUGCAAAAUCUCAACUAGUUGGCCUUACUUCCGAAAAAGAUAAAUGCAAAAGAUCUAGCAGCUGCCAGCGAGUAACAUACUAACAUGAUCCCCUGUAAAGUCUAUUUUUUUUGGUUAGCUGAUAAUAUGCCGCAACUACCAAGUUCCUCCCAAGAAUCUUUGCAUAUAGGAUCAAAUCAUUUAAAGAAGUAUAAACUCCCAUGGUUUUGAACUUUUGAUUAUUUUCAAGUGCCUCAAAAUUUUGGACAGAUAGUAAAAGUUCCUGAUAAAUCAAUAGUGCUAAUAAUGAAAAGGCUCAGUCUCUCACAAUGAUGAGUUCUUAACAAAUUUUGUUAAUUGCCAAAGGCAUCAGCAGCCAAAAGUAUAGU